rnacentral:lncRNA from 1 species
GGAGCGGGUGUUUACCCGGGAGCCGGACGGAGGAGGCCGGGGCCGGUCGAGCCCGGAAGGGGGGAGGGGAGCGCAGUCGGAGACCGAGGCUGAGACCUUUUCGGUUCCUUUCCCCUAAAUCGACUUCCAACCCUCGUUCCUGAGCGUGGGAGAACGCGGCAGACAGACAGAUGUCUCCCGCCCCUUAUCCUAUCCAGUUCCGCAAUUCACACUCGUUGCCAAAGAGUGGGGAGCGGGAAUGGAUACACCCGGGAACGACUGCACGUCCUGCGGGCGCCCGGGGAAGAAGGCAGCGCAGCACAAAACCUCUCCUGCGGUCACCUCCCACCCCAUCCUGCACCUGAGUUCUUGCGGGGAGGGGGUGCCCACAGCAGGUCGGGCCCAGAGGAUCCGGCAGGGGUCACUUUGAGGUGUACGGACUAGGAGUCUAUCCUCAGAACGCGUCAGCUCGACCCCAUCCCCGAUUAAUACCAGUGCGGGUCUCAGUCUCUUGUCCCUCGCGUCCCCCAGCCCUCUCCAAGGCCUCCAGAUUUAGCUCCCACUCUCCACGGGACGCAGGCCCGAGGACCCGGAAGAAGCUGAGUGGGGUCCGGUUUUCACACUUUUAUUGUAAAGCUCGGGAAUAAUUACACGGGUCUUUCAUUGACAGCUCAGCAAACAAACCGGAAACGAACCGAACCGGAGGGGGUAGGGGCGGUGCCUGCGCAUGCUCGCGGCAGUGGGAAGUGGCACGAACCAAGAGAAACACGACCCCAAUGUGGGCACCCGACGCGCCCAAAACCCCCCACCCCGACCCCCACCCCCCUACACACGAGAGAGACACGGCCCCCCUCCCCACUAGAUAACCCGAGGAGACACAGUCUCCCCUCCCCAUGGGCAGACACACCCGCCCGAAACCCCAUGGGCGGGACACAGUCCCCCCUCCCAGAGAAGUCCCCAGUGGAGACGCCCCUUAAGAGACUUUCUCAUGGCCAACACAAGCCCUCCCAACACCCGGAGACAGCCCCGACCCAGGGAAGAAAUGGCUCCAGAGGCCCUACCCUCGGGAGAGAGAGGUAUCCCAGGGCUCCUAGGAGAAAAGACAACUCAGAGAUGCCCAGCCUCAUCCUAAAGUGCUGCAGGGCAGAGAAACCCCCAUAGGAGAGAUGGGGGUAGGGCCAGAAACAUCCCUUCCCAGACGUGUUUCAGAGAUAGCCCCCUUCCCUGGGAAGAGAGAUGGCCCGAAACUGACUUGCCUUAAGUACUCCCAGGAACCCUGGGAGGAAAACAGGCUCCCCAGAGAGCCUGGGUAAUUGGGGGAGACAUGCUCCCGUGGUCCUCAGCGGGAACACAUGUCCCCCGGAGACUCCCAAGGGGAGAGAUAGGGCCUAGAGAGACCCCAGAGGUGAGGGAUGCCCAGAGAACUUCCCCCCACCCCGGAAUGUGAAACAUGCUUCAAGGACCCUAGGAGAGAAAUAUGUCCCCAUAUACCCUCCCCCUACGGAGAGACAUGCCCUGAAGUAGGGGGAUGGGGACCGACUAGGUCCCCUCUGGGAAGACACAGACUGGGUCAGGCUGGGUUUGAGGGGGGCUCUCCUCUGGCCAAAUGUCGCCUAUUGGUACAUAAAACUGUACGCGACACAGGCAUUGGGGAGGGGCUUCACAGACCUAGGACCCACAGGGAUAGUCCCCAGUGCUGUCGCCAACCCCUGCCCACCUUUGGUUUCAUCUCUCCAGUGCCCAGUUGGUGACAGACUCAGUGCCCUGGCCCCAACCAGGGGGCUGGGGGCUCUGUCUUUGCCUGUGGGAAGGGCUUCUCAGCUCUCCCAGCCAUCUGGGCCACCCUCUUUCUUCUGGCUUCUCCAUUGUGCAAAAUGCUCCUCUGCUCUUCUGCUCAGUGCUCAGGGGUCUCUAAGACCAGGGCAAGGUACCCAGGCCACUAGGGGCUUCCAGUGGGAGUCCACUGACCCCAGGAAUGCCGCCUGUCUGGACCACCUUCUCCACCAAGCAAAUGGGCCUCAUACAAUCUUCUUGCCCGAAUCCUGACCUCCAGGACCCAGGACAAUCCUUGAGGCCACUGUUCCACCAGCUGGGCACCCAAUACUACCAACUCCAAGACUAUUGCACCUGCCCCAUUUGUGCAGGGGAAAGGGGCUGUCUCUUUAACAAGCCCCAAGCCCAUCUCCUGGGCCUCCCCAAGGGAAAGGAGCCUUUGGCCAACCCCUAGACCUGGCUGCUGCCACCCCAUCCCAUUCUACCCCUUCCCCUCUGUAGAAGGGCUUCGUAUGCCAGGGCUACCAGCCUAACAAUGCUCUCCUUCCUAGCACUGUCACCCCAAGCCAAGUUGGGGGUAAGGGGCAGAUAAAUAGGGUGAUUCUUCAGGCCCCUGGCUUUUCCGGGGUGGGGGUGGGGUCUCUGGGGUACAAGAGUCAAGACCCCAGCAGCACAGCUCCCAAAGGCACCAGACGACCCCGCAGCCUGUACCCACCGCUCGCAAUCUUGGACCACCUCCCCAAGCUUAGACUAAGUCAAGCAAGGGCCAUACCCUGAGUCUCCAGCCUCCCAGCCUGGGCCCCUAGGGAGCUGGAGAGUGAGGCCCUGGAAUGGGCCAUUUGGGAGCUGGCC